rnacentral:rRNA from 1 species
AUAUCAAUAAGCGGAGGAAAAGAAACCAACAGGGAUUGCCCUAGUAACGGCGAGUGAAGCGGCAACAGCUCAAAUUUGAAAUCUGGCCCCUCCGGGGUCCGAGUUGUAAUUUGCAGAGGGUGCUUCGGCGUCGGCCCCGGGUCAAGUCCCCUGGAACGGGGCGUCCCAGAGGGUGAGAACCCCGUANCNACCCGGGUGCCCUUCGCCGUGUGAAGCCCCUUCGACGAGUCGAGUUGUUUGGGAAUGCAGCUCUAAGUGGGAGGUAAAUUUCUUCUAAAGCUAAAUACCGGCCAGAGACCGAUAGCGCACAAGUAGAGUGAUCGAAAGAUGAAAAGCACUUUGGAAAGAGAGUUAAAAAGCACGUGAAAUUGUUGAAAGGGAAGCUCUUGCCGCCAGACUUGCCGCGGUUGCUCAGCCGCCCUCCGGGGCGGUGUACUCUUCCGUCGGCAGGCCAGCGUCGGUUCGGGCGGCCGGAUAAAGGCCCCGGGAAUGUAGCACCCCUCGGGGUGUGUUAUAGCCCGGGGCGCAAUGCGGCCAGCCCGGUCCGAGGCACGCGUUCGCGAGGACGCUGGCGUAAUGGCUGCAAGCGACCCGUCUUGAAACACGGACCAAGGAGUCUAACAUCUGUGCGAGUGUUUGGGCGUCAAACCCAUGCGCGUAAUGAAAGUGAACGGAGGUGGGAACCCCCUCGAGGGGCGCACCAUCGACCGAUCCUGAUGUCUUCGGAUGGAUUUGAGUAAGAGCAUAGCUGUUGGGACCCGAAAGAUGGUGAACUAUUCCCGGAUAGGGUGAAGCCAGAGGAAACUCUGGUGGAGGCUCGCAGCGGUUCUGACGUGCAAAUCGAUCGUCAAAUCUAGGAAUAGGGGCGAAAGACUAAUCGAACCAU